rnacentral:rRNA from 1 species
CAGCCGCCGCGGUAAUACCGGCGGCCCGAGUGGCGGUCACUAUUAUUGGGCCUAAAGCGUCCGUAGCCGGGCUCGGAAGUCCCUCGGGAAAUCUCACCGCUUAACCGUCAGAAUGGCGGGGGAUACUCCCAGCCUUGGGAGCGGGAGAGGCCGAGGGUAUUCCCGGAGUAGGGGUGAAAUCCUAUAAUCCCCGGAGGACCACCUGUGGGGAAGGCGCCCGGCUGGAACGCGUCCGACGGUGAGGGACGAAGGCCAGGGGAGCAAACCGGAUUAGAUACCCGGGUAGUCCUGGCUGUAAACGAUGCGGACUUUGUGUCGGACAAGCUAUGAGCUUGUCCGGUGCCGUAGGGAAACCGUUAAGUCCGCCGCCUGGGGAGUACGGCCGCAAGGCUGAAACUUAAAGGAAUUGGCGGG